AGUGAACGCUGGCGGUAGGCCUAACACAUGCAAGUCGAACGGCAGCACAGUAUGCGCUUGCUCUUACGGGUGGCGAGUGGCGGGUGGGUGAGGAAUACAUCGGCAUCUACUUUUUCGUGGGGGAUAACGUAGGGAAACUUACGCUAAUACCGCAUACGACCUACGGGUGAAAGCAGGGGAUCUUCGGCCCUUGCGCGAUUGAAUGAGCCGAUGUCGGAUUAGCUAGUUGGCGGGGUAAAGGCCCACCAAGGCGACGAUCCGUAGCUGGUCUGAGAGGAUGAUCAGCCACACUGGAACUGAGACACGGUCCAGACUCCUACGGGAGGCAGCAGUGGGGAAUAUUGGACAAUGGGCGCAAGCCUGAUCCAGCCAUACCGCGUGGGUGAAGAAGGCCUUCGGGUUGUAAAGCCCUUUUGUUGGGAAAGAAAAGCAGUAGGUUAAUACCCCGCUGUUCUGACGGUACCCAAAGAAUAAGCACCGGCUAACUUCGUG
rnacentral:rRNA from 1 species